UACGUAGGGGGCAAGCGUUGUCCGGAAUCAUUGGGCGUAAAGAGCGUGUAGGCGGCCUGGUAAGUCCGCUGUGAAAGUCCAGGGCUCAACCCUGGAAUGCCGGUGGAAACUGUCAGGCUCGAGUCCGGAAGAGGCGAGUGGAAUUCCUGGUGUAGCGGUGAAAUGCGCAGAUAUCAGGAGGAACACCAAUGGCGAAGGCAGCUCGCUGGCCCGAUACUGACGCUGAGGCACGAAAGCGUGGGGAGCAAACAGG
rnacentral:rRNA from 1 species